GCCACAUCCUUAGCUAUUUCUUUUAAAUAAUAAUUAUAAAAAAUUUCUGUUUUGAGACAGGGUCAUGCUAAUUUGCUUAGGGCUUCCCUAAGUUGCCAAGGCUGGCUUUGAAAUUGUGAUCCUCCUACCUCAGCCUCUGAGCCACUGGGAUUAUAGGUUUGCGUCACCAUACACCCAGCUUCAUGGUACAAUUAUUAUAUGAGAGGAAAAGAUUGGGGCCAGUAGAGAAGCCAUUUUAGAUAAAUUGAGUUUGAGGUAUCUGAGUGACAUUCAGAUAAAGAUGCCAUAUUUUAAUUUGAAUGUGUUGAUCUGGCUUUCAGAGGAGAAGAAUGGGUUGCAAUUUAGUAUUUGAGAAUCAUUAGAGAGAGGUGAUAAUUGUGAACAUGGAGUAGAUAGGAUCCCCCAUAGAGAAGGUACAAAGAGCAGAAGGCUGCAAAAAGAACUGUGUAAGGGGCUGUGAAAACUGGAGAGAGAAACAGAAUUAAAACAAUGUAUAACCUUUCACAUACUUUUAUUAUCCAAAGACUUAUAUAUUCUUUACAUAAAAUUGGUUUUACUGUACAUAAAAUUUCUGGUCCUGAUUUAAAUUUUUUCAUAUAAAAAAUAAAUAUUCAUUGGUGAUGCUUGAGAACAUAGACACAAUGAGUGAAAACUGUCUCCUAACCAAUAUAUAGCUUGAACGCCUGAAAAAUAUUCAGAUCAAUCCUUAUUGAACUUGAGGCACCAAGUUUUUGCUGGGGUGAAGGGGAGGUUAAUUCGUGGAAUAGAAUGCCACAGUGUGACAGGCACAGGCCUGAGUUUGUCAAUCUACUCCUUUUCUCUCCCUCCAUGUUCUUUUUCAUUCUUUUUUGCUCUCUCUCCCUUGUCUCUGUUUCCUCCUCCUAGGAGACAGUUGUUGGUAUUCUCUCUGUGCUUCUGUGUCUUUGGGGGUGACCACUUAAUUUCCAUGGCACCAUGCCAUGUGCCAGUGGGCAUUUAAUAGAGAAUAAAAAUUGUCAUUUCAUAAGGUGACCCUGGGUGUGAUUGGAUGCCAAGACUUUUGGAACCCUUGUUGAACAGAACAGAGACUGAGAAGGAACUAGUCUUAGUUUGGUAGCCCUCUCAGUGGUUUGCAUGUACUUUUGCUGUCCCAUGCCUACUAUGAUCUAGACUAAGAAACCUGCUCUUUGGGAAAGUGCUGGGUGAAAGAGAUGUGGGGCAGGACACCCAGUCGUCCUAAUGUUUCACUUAGGAGGUUGUCACUCAAUUAUUUUGGGAAGGACACAGUUCUAGUAUUGUGACUGUGAUUGUGGCAGCUCAUGGGGACAGGGAGGAGGCAGUGCACCCCCUCCCCUUUAGAGACAAUACUGGAAGCUCAGUGUAUAUCCUGCUAUUUUGGUUUCUUCUCAUCUAGCAGUUCGAGGGUCUAUUUCAGUCCAAAAUAUGUCCAAAGGCAAUUUUACAACGAUGUAUUUCUGUUCAUUAUAAAUUGUAACCCAAAUAAUAAUAUUUCAAGGCUCAGGAAACAGGCUGUCUUUUUUGAAUGUUCAUAUUUUACCUGCCUUGUUUCAAAAGAGAUUCAAACAGUGUAGGUUUGGCAAAUUGAUGUGAUUCAGGCAAAUUUUAUAUGUAUGACUCUCUUUGGUUUUGCUUUGUUCCCUUGAGAAUGGCUUUUAAAAUAGUGAUAAUGACUAUUUUCAUUGCUAGCUUUUUGCAUUAAGUUUACAUCACAUCCCAGGCUGCAGGUUUUCUGUGUUUAAACUCUGACUCUCCUUACCUUUUACCUAGAGCUGUCUCUGGGCUUUUGUGGAGUUCUGGCGUGCUUUGCCUGAGGUUGUGGUAUAAGAAGGAUAAGGGAUGUUGACUUCACAGAGUAGUGUACCUCCAUGCUUCACCUUCUGCAUUGGGGCCUUCUCAGGCCUUGUGUUAAGGGCUUGGGGCAAUGUGUGUGUUUGAGGAGAGGAAUAGGAGGUAGAGGGGAAGGGAGGGAAGGAAGACCUACUGCAGAGAUGCCUUUAUCCUGACAGAUUCAUGCAAAUGUAAUUCCACUUCUCAUUGAGAGUGGGCUAAGUGUCACUCUCUGACCCUGUUGACCAUUAACAUCUUAAAAAGUGAGAGGAGCUGUUACAGGAGGGGCUUUGUUUGGGCACAGAGCCUCCUCAAUUAUUGAGCCUUUCUAAGCUUCUGGAGGACAUAACAUGCUAUCAAGUGAAAUGGGGUUUCUUUUUGAUGAUGAUUUAUGGUACUGUAAGAAAUAGAUUUAUCAAGCAGAUCAGAUUCUUAGUGUUUGCUUUUUAGAACAUUCCCUCCCUAAGAUCCAUUUACAUCAGAAUUCAAAUUGUCAUAGAAGGUUUUUUCCUUAGUGCUCAGGGAACUUAGCCAAUUUAGAUAGAUGCUGAUACUGACAAAGUAAGAGAUCCUGGUGUGUCCUUCUCUUCUAUGGGAACUGACUUGUUGCUGAAAUCCAGUACUUCUCCUCUGAUAUAGUGGUAUCUUUUGUCUACUUAGAUGCUCCUAUAAUAGAAGCAGAGCAUCAGUGGGUGGUACUUUUAUGAAUAUUAAUAUGUAUGACCAAAUUGGUUAUCAGACAGUUUGAGAUGUAUACUCCUUUUUGUUAAGUGAUGUAAUUUAUUCUUCUUUAAAAAUUAAUUUUAUGGGUGGGCAUGUGGCUCAAGCGGUAGUGCACUCGCUUGGCAUGCGUGCGGCCCGGGUUCGAUCCUCAGCACCACAUACAGACAAAGAUGUUGUGUCCGCUGAAAACUAAAGAAUAAAUAUUAAAAUUCUCUCUCUUUAAAAAAAUUAACUUUAUUUUUGGUUGACAAAUAAUAUAUAUUUAUGGGAUACAAUAUUAAUCAUGCAAGUAUUGCAUUGUGGAAUGAUUAAAAUAGGCUAAUUUAUGUGUACAUCAAUUCACAUACUGAUGAUUUUGUUGUAGUGAGAACAAUUAGAAUCUACUCUUUUAGCAAUAUUAAAGUAUACAUCACAUUAUUAUUAAUGAUAGUUACUAUUUAGUGCAAUACCUCUCAGACCACCAUUCCACACACUCUCCUUCUAUAAAUUUGAUAUUUUUAUAUUACACUUGUGAGAUACAUUUUUGUUUUUCUGUGCCUGAUUUGUUUCACUAAGGAAAAUAUUCUGUAGAUUCCUUCAUGUUGUUGCAAUGGACAGAAUUUGCUUCUCUUUAAAUGCUGAAUACUAUUCCAUUGUGUAUACACACCACAUUUUAUCUAUCCAUUCUUCUGUUAAUGAGUACUUAGGUUGUUUCCAUAUCUUGACUAUUUUGAAUAAUGUUGCAAUGGAUAUGCAUGUGUAUGUCUCUUUGAAAUACUGAUUGCAUUUCCUUCAGAUGUGUCGUCUACCCAGGAGUGUGACUGCUGGAUUAUAUAGUGAUUUUAUUUUUGGUUUUCAAGAACAUACUGUUUUCCAAAUUUUUGUGCUAACUUACAUUUUCACAGUGUGCAAAGAUUCUCUUUUCUCCACAUCCUCGUCAAUUCUUUUAUCUUUCAUCUUUUUGACAAUUUUCAUUCUAACAAGUAUAGGUAUAAGGCAGUAUCUCAUAGCUUAUUUUGAAUUUUCCUGAUAAUUAAUGAUGUUGAAUGUUUUUCAUAUACUUGUUUGCUGUUUUAUGUCUUCUUUCGAAAAAAAUGUCUAUUCAGAUUAUUUGCCUGCUUUUUGAAUCAACUUAUUUAAUUUUUUACUGCUGAAUUGUUUGAGUUCCUCUUAUAUCCUGCAUAUUAAUCCCUUGUUGGAUGAAUAGUUUGUGAAUAUUUUCUCCCCUACUGUAGGUUUUUCUUUUUAGUCUGUUGGAUGUUUCCUUUGCUGUAUAGAAAACUUUUAGUUUGAUAUUUCUUUUAUCUAUUUUUCCUUUUGUUUCCUAUACUUUGGGGGUCUUGUCAAAAAAUCUUUGCCCAGACCAAUGUUGUGGAACUUUCCACCUGUGUUUCUUGAGAGACAUAUACUCUUAGGUCAGAAGACCUUAAUAUUUGCAAAGCCUUCUCCCCUAUGUGUCUCCCCUUUUCCUGGAUUUUUUGAAAUUAUAAAUGAUAUAUUGCUAUAAAAUUUUGAAACCUGAGGAAAAUUGUCAUCUUCUAAUUUUUCCAAAUUUCAUUCCUCUGUUUGUUAAAAUUGGAUUUUAACUUUGUUCAUGCUCAUUUCUUGUGGCCUUCUUUCAAUAAGCUAUAAUGAAAAUCCAGACCUAAUGAAAUGAAUCCAAUAAAGAAAAAUUUUAAUUUUCUUCCAUAAUUUAAAAUUAUUCAAAUGGAUUGUCUUUUGAUAUUAGAAAAGAUGAAAUAUACAGAAGACUGACUCAAAGAAACAAUCUAAAAAAUAUUUUAUAAAUUUUUAGCCUAUUCAAAAUGUCUUGGAAAAUGAUUUUUUAUAAUCAAUUGUUGUUUAUCAUCAUUAAUCAUUACCUCUUAAGUUAUUCCAUAUAAUGGAUAGUCAAAAAUGGAAGUAUUAAAUUGUACAAUGUCAGCUAUGAAAUCCAUCAAUUCUGUUUGCUUUUCUUUGAUAUAAUGGUAAACAUUUUAAUUAUGAAUGUCAUAACUUGUUAAUGCUUAUAAAUAUAUACCACAUCUGUACAAUCAUAUUUAUUUUGUUGGAUAUUAUUAUGUUAUAAUAUAGUAUUAUUAAGAUCGUGGAAUUGUUUUUCACCUGUUUUUAAUUGCUGAUUAUAGUUUCAGAUAUAUUUACUUCAACUUAGGGAAAAGUUAGCAUUGAGGGAAGAAGGUGAUAUAACUCCUGAACAUUAGAGGAUAGGAUUUUACACCAAAUUAAGCAUUUGACUACACACUGAGACAGUUUUGGGAUUUACCAGCACUCGGAGUUUAUUUAUUUAUUUUUUAUUUUAUUUUAUUUUUUAGUUGUUGAUGGACUUUAUUGUCUUUAUUUUUUAAAAUGUGGUGCUGAGGUUCAAACCCAGUGCCUCAUGCAUGCUAGGUGAGCACGCUACCACUGAGACACAAUCCCAGCCCCCACAGUUUAUUUUUUUACAGUGAUUUAUAUUGUGAUCUUCUCGAAGUAACACCGCUUACUGAAAACUAAAAAAGAGGAAUACAGAGAGUAAAAUAUAAAAAUUGGCUUCUUCCCAAACAUCUUUACAGAGUUACCUACUAUUACCAGUCAGAUGCUUUCUCUGUGUAUACAAACACAAAUAAUUAUUAUAUAUGCAUUCUUAGAAAUAAUAUGAACUCACAGUUUAUAUUUUGCAACUUUUUUUCACUUACAAUUUAUUAUGUGUAUCUUUCCAUGCAUUUCUUACCUCACUUAACUUUGUUCAUAGUGUCUUUCUCUGUAGAUUAUUUACAUUUUAAGGUGGUCAUAUCACUCAGCUUUUCCCUUUACAGUUUCUAGGAUUUUAAUACUUAGAUAAGUAUUUCCCACCUAAGAUUUUUAAAGUAUUUUAAAAUAUUUUUUCAAGCUUUUUAAAAGGUGUGUGUGUGUGUGUGUGUGUGUAAGCACACAGGAUUACCUCUUGUAAUGAUUUUAUUAUAUACUUUUUCAAUAGCAUCAAUUAGAGAUAAAUGUUACUUCUUUUUCCUAGUCCCAAACAUUGAAUGUGUCAUCCUCUCCUACACUUUCUGCAGGACUUUUCAUAUGCCAUAAGCCAUGAGUUAUUUACAAAAUAUUAUUCUUCUUUGUAAAUGAAAACAUUGCUCUGUUUGUUAUCUUUGAGGUAUAAUGCGCUGAGUACUGUUAGUGAAGUUCUGUAUGACAGAGUCUGUUUUAUAAAAGAUGGAAUUAAUAGUGCUUUGUAGCAAUCCCCAUAAUCCAUUGUGCUAUGCAUUUAUUACAGUUAUUAAAAUACCAAGUGGAUAAAUAAAAUGCACUUUGGGCUAUGAAAAUGCCAUAAUUUGUAAAAGGUAGUUUAAUGGAUAGCUUAGGUGAAUGUGACAACACAUCACUGAAAGCAAUCUUCAUGUUUCCCGGGACAUGUGACAAUGAAAGAUAUAAUUUGUGUAUUUGAGCAUUUGAAUGUCUGCUGGUCAAUACAGUCUUCCAAUUAGGAGGGUUAUAGGAAUAUUGUCAAUUGUGCCUUGGAACCACAGAUAAGAAAUUGGUCUUUUUUGAGGUAUGGAAUGAAGUAUCAGAUCUAGAAGGCUUGAGCACUUGAAUUAGACAUUUUGGUGGACACUUAAAAAAUAAAUUAGCACUUUUAUUUAAAAAGUGGAUGAGAUUUAAAUCUAUGAAAUAGAUUUGGGUACCAGUGGAGAAAUUCAUAUAAUUAAAAAAUGAAAUAAAUAUUGAAGGGACAUUGACAUUCAGAUAAUUGAUUGGACUAGCAAUUGAUGGAGUUAAUCCAUGGGCUGGCUUGAUAUCCCACUCACUAGUAAUUCAUAUCAUUUUAAGCAAAAGAAAUAAAAGAACAAUGUUAGCUCACAAGUGCUACAAUGUUAUACUCUCCAAAACCUUGCAAGACCAGAAGAAAGCUAUUAUUUUUUGUUGUUUGUCUUAUGUCCCAACACUUCUUAUAAUUUGCUCAUUCACUUUCUAAUUUUAAAUAGUCCCUUGUGUUUUAGAUGAAUACAAUCGUAUCAAUUGUAAAAAAAAAUAUUUUUAUCUUUCCAUAAUUUUAUGCUAAUUAUUUAUUUUCUUAUUGUAAUAGCUAUAAUCUCAAAAAUUACUGUUGAAUAAAAGUGGAGGUUGUGGGCAACAUUGACUUGUUCCUGCUUUUAAUGGAAAUGACUUUGACCUUUCAUGGUUAGAAUGAGGGUUGCUGCUGAUUAUUGGGUAAAGGUCCUUUCAAUAUUUAAGUUAUUCCAUUCUGUUUCUAUUAGUAUAUGUUAGGAUUAGCUACAGAUUUUUUUAUAUCUAAUGGCUUUUCAAUAUCUAUUGACAAGAUCAUAUAUUUUUUCUACAUUAACUUUUUUAUGUAAUGAAUGAUAUUGUUAGAAUUUCUGGUGUUUUACUAUUUUGCCUUUGUGAAUCAAUCCCUAUCAGGUCAUAGUAUAAUUUUUUUCUUGCCAUAUUUCUAGGUUCUAUUUGUUUGUAUGUUUUAUACUUUCAAAAAUAUUUUAUUUUGUCGUUUUAUAUUUGCUAUUUAUAUUUGUUUAUUUUUUUGUGUAUCAUUUUUUUUUUUUACUGGUUUUGGUCUUAGGUUUGCUAGCUCCAUACAAUUCAUUAGUGAAUGUUCAAAUUUUCCCUGUCUUUUCCUGCUGAGUUUAAAUAAUAUUAGUAUUAUCUCCUCUUUAAAGGUUAGAUAGAACUAAAAUUUAAAAUUUUGUGCUCCUGGUUCCUUCUUUAAUGAUAGUCUAUAACCACAUUUCCAGUCUUACUUGUAAUGAUUGGUUGAGUCAAUUUUUCUAUUUCUUGGGUUAAUUUGAUAAUUUCUGCUUUGUUAGGAAAUCAUACAUUAUCUUUAGAUUUUCAAAUUUGAUAUCAUAGAUUUGUCUGAAAAAAUUAUAAUUAUUUUAAUCACAUCUAUUUAUAUGGUUCUACCCUUUAUUACUGAUGAUUUAUAUCCUUUUUCUUUCCUUGG
rnacentral:lncRNA from 1 species